AUACGGAGGGGGUUAGCGUUGUUCGGAAUUACUGGGCGUAAAGCGCACGUAGGCGGACUGGAAAGUUGGGGGUGAAAUCCCGGGGCUCAACCCCGGAGCUGCCUCCAAAACUUCCAAUCUAGAGAUCGAGAGAGGUGAGUGGAAUUCCAAGUGUAGAGGUGAAAUUCGUAGAUAUUUGGAGGAACACCAGUGGCGAAGGCGGCUCACUGGCUCGAUACUGACGCUGAGGUGCGAAAGCGUGGGGAGCAAACAGGAUUAGAAACCCUAGUAGUCC
rnacentral:rRNA from 1 species